UUCGGCUGCAGGGAACUUCACAUAACCCAAUAAUCGGAGGCUAGAACGUGAGAGCGUGGUUCCUGCCUCCUAAUUGACACCAAGUGGGGACAUCUGUUCUGCAUGAAGCUUGGGUCAGGCCUUCCGUCUCAUCUGUGACCUCCUGCGGUUGGGAGGGACGGCCCUGGAUUAUGCAGCGACGCCUCAGAAUAUUGGAAGCUGGGAUGAAAUCAACAUGAACAAAACCCCCUAAUUGGUCUGGAUCCUUCCUUAGCCACUGGUAAUUAUUUUGGGGUUGGUAGCUUGUCUUGUAUAAUAACAAAUUCCCUCCCAAAGACAGAAUUUCUUGCUUUGAGUGCAAGUCCAAACUAUUGCACUCCCAAGGUUUUCGUGGACAUGAUCCCUGCUCUGAGUCUACUGACUUUUUCUUUGAGGUUGAGAACCAUUGAUCUCCAGACACAGAGGAAUCAUCAUCCAUGUGUGCGGACCUUCAGUGUGGCUGCUUUAAAUCCAUCCCUGCACCUGCCCAUAACCCUUCAUCCACUGCUUGGGCUUCUUCAGGAUGACAGGAGGACAAAGGGCUGCAGUGGAAAUCACCAUGCAAAUUGCCACAGUGUCUGAACUGGAGACACCUUUGCCUGCGGCGGCUCAAUGAACGGAGCUUAUGUGACUCCCACUUAAGGGGCGACGUGAAGUGCUUUCUGAAGCCGAGCGUCUGCACCACCUAAACAGCGAGCCUCCUGGGCUUGCCUCCAGAGUGCUUUGGUAGAAAUGAGCACCUAGAGAGUAUGACAACUUAGACAGAGUGGGCUCUGGUAGGUGAUCUUCCCUGACCUGUCAGCAGGCUCUCUCUGUAAAGUCCGGUCCAUGAGGGCAACUGGGAACAGUUUAGAGUAUGACACUGUAUGUGCCUUAGAGACACGAUACCCGCCAUCUUUAGGGAUGUACAUGUAAUGCUUUUCUUAUUUUUCCUGUUUUCCUCUUUCAUUCACUGGGUCAGGGACACUGCAGAAGGUUGCUGUGGGAGGCCUUCUUCUUCUCUGAAGCUUCUCUGAACACACUUGGUGUGCUGUUCGUCCUGUCUCCAUGCUUGUGACCAAGAGGCAUGACUCCAGAGUCUGCUUGUGUCUAGACAUCUCUGACUUUCGUUUGUGACCUUGUGUCCACCCCGUGACUAUGUCUGCAAUUGUGGAGGCUUUGAAAGAGUUGAUGGUUACUGACUGUUGCUGGCCCAGUGUUCUCUCGGCCUCUUUCCUCUGGAGGAAGUGACUCCAUAGAUGCACAGCCCUCUCCCAAGGGCACAUAGAAGAUCCUAGAAGUGUUCUGAGACAUUUCCUUGGAUCUAAGAAGCAAGCAAACGUGGGCUUGAUGUUGCCAGUUCUUCCAUAUUAACUUAAUGUCCACGCUGGUAUAAUGACACUUCACAUAAGGAGGCUCUGUGUGUGUGUGUGUUAAAAUGUACAAUACCUGUUGAGCCCUAAACACAUGCAGACAAUACAAAUUAGACUCUCUCUCUAUAUGUAUAUAUGUGUGUAUAUGUAAUAUUUAUGUAUAUAUUAUAUAUAAUAUAUAGGUAUAUAUAAUAUAUAAUUAUAGAAGAAGUCUUGAAUUUGAGAAGUGGGCGGAAGGAGGGACACAGGCGGAAUUGGGACAAAGAGACGAAAGGUUGGGAAUGAUGUAAAUAUAGUGUACUCAUGUAUGAAAUUCUCAAAAACAAGAAUAAAGCCCUAAAAUAUUCAA